rnacentral:rRNA from 1 species
GAUGAACGCUGGCGGCGUGCCUAAUACAUGCAAGUCGAGCGAACGGACGAGAAGCUUGCUUCUCUGAUGUUAGCGGCGGACGGGUGAGUAACACGUGGAUAACCUACCUAUAAGACUGGGAUAACUUCGGGAAACCGGAGCUAAUACCGGAUAAUAUUUUGAACCGCAUGGUUCAAAAGUGAAAGACGGUCUUGCUGUCACUUAUAGAUGGAUCCGCGCUGCAUUAGCUAGUUGGUAAGGUAACGGCUUACCAAGGCAACGAUGCAUAGCCGACCUGUGAGGGUGAUCAGCCACACUGGAACUGCGACACGGGCCAGAAUCCUAAGGGAGGCAGCAGUAGGGAAUCUUCCGCAAUGGGCGAAAGCCUGACGGAGCAACGCCGCGUGAGUGAUGAAGGGCUUCGGAUCGUAAAACUCUGUUAUUAGGGAAGAACAUAUGUGUAAGUAACUGUGCACGUCUUGACGGUACCUAAUCAGAAAGCCACGGCUAACUACGUG